CUUCUCCAUGCCUGGCGAUUUGACUGUCAACACGUUCUGCUCUGAAGGGGGGCUACACAGCGCUUCACCUGGCCUCUAUACAUGGACACCAGCACGUCAUCCAGCUCCUGAUCAACAUCUACAAUGCCAGAACUAACAUCAGGGACUACCAUGGCAAGCUUGCAGCCCAUUACUGGAGUGGCAAUGCUGAUGUGUUCAACAAACCAGGCUCGCAGUCAUGUGGGAAAUGGUCAUCAAAAGGAGGAAGAAAGGUCCAGCGCUACACCAACCUACCCUCUCUGCUCCUCUCUCGCUCGCGGAGCCAGGGGAACCUCAACAACCUGGAGUUUGGGACUGCGCCUCAGACCCCACGGCCCCCCCGCUCCCCAUCCAGUAUAGACUUCCACAGCUUCCAAUCCCCACAGCUCUAUGGAGAUCAUUUCUGAUUAAAGAUAGAUAAUAAUUAUUUUAUUUUGCAUCCCAAAUGGCACCCUAUUCCCUAUAUAGUGCAUAUAUAUAUAUAUACACACACACACACACAAAAGGAGUGAACCAUGUAGGGAAUAGGGUGCCAUUUGGGACGUAAUCUUAUUUUUCUAUUACGAUCAUGGCUAUAUCAUGGCUAUAAAGUAUGAUUGGUCACUUCAGAGAAGCACAAAAGGAUUUGAUUGAUUGAAAGUUAAAGUUGUUCAACUGUCUGGCACAGGUCUCUCUCCUUACUAUGGAAUUUAGCAUGUACACUGAACAUAAAUAUGAACGCAACAUGUAAAGUGUUGGUCCCAUUUUUUUAAUGAGCUGAAAUCAAAGAUCCCAGAAAUAUUCCAUAUGCACAAAAAUAAUAUUUCUCUCAAAUUUUGUGCACAAAUUUGUUAACAUCCCUGUUAGUGAGCAUUUCUCCUUUGCCAAGAUAAUUCACAAUUGGCCCAGUGUUAUCCAGGUUUGGUCAGGGUAGGAUGUCAUUGUAAAUAAGAAUUUGUUCUUAACUGACUUGCCUAGUUAAAUAAUAGUUAACAUUAUAAUAAAUUACACAGGUACGCCUUGUGCUGGAGACAAUAAAAGGCCACUCUAAAAUGCUGAUUUUUAUCACACAUCACAAUGCCACAGGUGUCUCAAGUUUUGAGGGAGCGUGCAAUUGGCGUGCUGACUGCAGGAAUGUGCACCAGAGCUGUUGCCAGAGAAUAUAAUGUUCAUUUCUCUACCAUAAUGUUGUUUUAGAGAAUUUAACAGUACGUCCAACCCGCCUCACAACCGGAGACCACGUGAAUGGCGUUGUGUGGGUGAGCGGUUUGCUAAUGUCAAUGAGUGCCCUAUGGUGGCGGUCGAGUUAUGGUACUCGGGCAGGCAUAAGCUACAGAGAACUUGCAUGUUAUUGAUGUCAACUUGAAUGCACAAAAAUACCUUGACGAGAUCCUGAUGCCCAUUGGAGACCUGUAUCUGUGACCAACAGAUGCAUAUCUGUAUUCCCAGUCAUGUGAAAUCUAUAGAUUAGGGCCCAAUUAAUUUAUUUCAAUUGACUGAUUUCCUCAUAUGAACUGUAACUCAGUAAUAUCAAUGAAAUUGUUGCGUGUUCAGUAUAGCUAGCUACUCUCGCUUUUACCUUUGUUGAUAUAUAUUUUCAGAAGUGUAUUAGAUUUAUGAACGCUCUCCUUGCAUUCAUGAUUGGAUUCCACUGGGCACCAACUCGUUGAAUCAACAUUGUUUCAAUGCAAUUUGUCAAUGUAUUGUGACAUACAAUCUACGUGGAAACUACGUUGGAUUUGAAAAAGUAAUCAGCUGCGGUUUUGAGAAUGAAAUUGGGACCACAGGAUUAUGUCAUCAUGGUAACUACAUUUCAACAUAGACAAACCUUGAAUAAAAUAUGUUGAAUGUCUACCAUUCAAACAACGUCAGUUCUUCAACGUUAUAUCCACUCUCAGACAAAAAAAAACAAUCGGCUGGGCAGCACCUGUUACUGGAGAAUGUAUCUAUCUACAGCUACCCUUUGGUCUCCCAUCCAACUGUUUUCUCAUGUAGUUCUAUGGCUACUUAAGCAGCCCAUAUGACAGUGCAGCCCUUGUAGACUAGCACAGGAAAGCAGCGUCACAGAUGAAAGGAGAAACUCGUGAUCAAACCUGCGUUAGUAAGUAGACUAUCGUUGGUAGAGCGCAUGCGGCUCGCGUUGCUCGCUCCGACUGUCAAACAAACGUUGCGAUUUUUAGAUUUUUUUUUCAUGAAAGUAAUGCAAAGUAAUAUAACGGGUAUAAUAAACUGGGUGGUUGAGACCUGAAUGCUGAUCGUCUGAAAUCUGCGGUGUACCACGGAUAUGAAGAAAAAAAAUACGGUGGUAACCAGUAUCCAGGCAAGAACAGCCCUUAGCUGUGGUAUAUUGGCGGUACACCACACCUCCUUGGGCCUUAUUGCUUAAAUAAAACGCAUGACUUUCCAGACAAAGUAAUAUUGUAAAGUAACAUGUUACUUCUGUUAAAUGUAACAGGUAAUACGUAAUAUUUUACUUUUUCAAGUAACUAAUCCCAACACUGAUCCCAAAUGACUUGCAUAAUAAUAAAGUCACUGAUCUUAAUGCAAUUGACAAAAAUACCCCUUAUUUUAGCAAAGGUAUAAGUACUGUAAUUACGUGCUUGUAUUUAAAAAAUAACAAUACAUGUGACGUAUAAAUAAAGGUAUUUAGGUAAUAUUGGUAUAUUAGGACUUGGAUAUGUGGGGUUAUAAGGUAUUUCAGAUGUAUUUUUUUAAUUGAAUGGGAUCCUAUGGGAAAAUGGCAUAACAUGAUUUUCCUAUAAAGUAUCUAAAUAUGUGGGAUAUGUCUUGGGAUAUCAAAAAACAGUGUAGGUAACUGCUAAAAUAGUUACACGUCAAAAUAGGGGAUAGCCUCCUUUAAAGGAGAACUACACUUCCAGAUUUGGCCCAUGACUGGAGGCAAACAAGAGUUGUCUGGGGGUGUGGUUUGAUGUGGUGUUUCUUGGGUGUGUCUUUGCCAUUCAAUCACAACAAAUACGUGCAGUAGUGAGUAUGGCGAGGCAAACUAAGUUAUCUUUGCUAUGGAGAGAACAAAGUUUUAAGUUGAGGACUUCUCCCUUCCCGACUGACCAUCUCAAGAUGGUCAGCUAAUUCAGUUCUCAGUUCUUUGUGGAGGCUAAAGCGUGCGACCUUGUGUUUAGCCAAGCUGACGGCAGCUAGCUAGCAAAGCUUGGUGAUAGCUGCAGCUGACUGUCCUAUCUAGCUGAUAUUUCUCUGUCAAAUCAGUUAUGGCAAGAUAGCAAGAGCCAGUGUCUGGAAUGUGUUUCAAAUGAAACUUGUUCUACAACACCUUGCUACGAAAGUAGCUUGCAACUUAGUUGCAAUGUUUCAUUAUGACAUGUAAAUACAUGUUACUGUGGAAAUGAUAUCAACUACUGCAAGUUGAAUGUCGGGGUAUUCAGUCAGCUCAGCUGUCCUACAGCAAAAUACUCUAUAACUGGCUAGUUUUGUCUCAUCUCUCCUUGUGUCCGCUGUUAGAUCACCUUACAGGUGUAGGUUACAUAUGGACAUUGCACAAACAUCGCCCAGCUUGAGUGUAGAUACAUCAACAACAACAAAAAUUGAUGGAUGUGUUUGUGUUAAGUUUUCUGCUGUAAAUGUCAGUAUGCCUACAUUGUACUUUACAAAUCAAAAUCAGAAUAGCGCAAACAGGCUCUAACCAGAAUAGAAAGAGGAGUUGAGGUCCCGCGGCACAACUGAGCAAGAUUUUCUAAUGAUCAAUUAACCUUUUAAAAUUAUAAACAUGGAUUAGCUAACACAACAUGCCAUUGGAACACAGGAGUGAUGGUUUCUGAUAAUGGGCCUCUGUACACCUAUAUAGAUAUUCCAUAAAAAAAUCUGCCAUUUACAGCUACAAUAGUCAUUUACAACAUUAACAAUGUCUACAC
ensembl:lncRNA